UUUCCAAUAAAUUCUCCUUAUCCGUUGCAUGGUCAUUGUUGCCAAUCCAUGGAGGACGGAUAGUAGAAGCAGUGUUAGACUCAUUUUUUUCGGGUUGGUCAUUAUCCAACAAGGUAUCCAAAUCAACAAGUUCGUUUUCGUCAAUGCUGCUACCAACACUUCCCUCGUUUUCCAACUUAUCAGAAUUUACAGAAUCAUCAGAAUCGUCUUCUUCAUUUAAUGAUAUUUCCUUCGUAUUAUUUAAAUUUUUAUGAUCCUUAUUACUCUUGCCACUCUAAAAAUGUGUUAGUUGAACGAGCAAAAUCAUUGAAAAUAUUUACCUUGGAAGCAUUGAAGGACCAAUCUGCAAAUCUUUUUUCAUCUUCUUCAUCAAAGGCUUCAUCACUAUCAAUUUCUUCAUCAUCUUCUGAGUUUACGCCAAAACUGUAGCCUUGUUCAUCGUUGUCUUCUAGUUCUUCAGAAUCAAAACCAGCGGACUCUUCUUCAUAAGAAUGUAAAAUCUUAUUUUCUAAUUGUUUUUUUCCUUUUCUUUGAUGUUUUCCCUGCGGUUGUGGCAAUGUAUUAACUUUUCCUUUCCUAGCCAUGAUGCUGGCUUAUGGUAAAAAUUCUUCCUCACUUCGAAGUAGGGACUAAAAUACCUUACACCAGUUUAAACUGAAUAAAUAAUUUCAACUAGUUUCAAAAGUAAAAAAAAUGAAUCAAAUUUUUAGUAAUCUGAUUCUUUUUCAUUGUUCGUCGAUUUAUGUUGCAGUCAUACUAAUAGUCAUAUACAUUACGCCUUCUAACAUAUGGAUAACUUCUUACAAUAUUUCCAAUAUUAAACUCAAGGUUUUGAAAUUAUUAAGCUAAGCAU